GAUGAAGAACGCAGCGAAAUGCGAUACGUAAUGUGAAUUGCAGAAUUCAGUGAAUCAUCGAAUCUUUGAACGCAUAUUGCGCUCUCUGGCAUUCCGGAGAGCAUGCUUGUUUGAGUAUCAGUAAACACCUCAACUUCCAUAUCUUUUUUGAAAUGGGAGUUGGACUUGAGUGAUCCCAACGCUUUUCCUCACCGAAAAGUGGCGGGUUACUUGAAAUGCAGGUGCAGCUGGACUUUUCUCUGAGCUAUAAGCAUAUCUAUUUAGUCUGCCUAAAAACAGAUUAUUACCUUUGCUGCAGCUAACAUAAAGGAGAUUAGUUCUUGUGCUGACUGAUGCAGGAUUCACAAAGACAGGCUUCGGCCGACUUUGUAAACUCGAUCUCAAAUCAAGUAAGACUACCCGCUGAACUUAAGCAUAUCAAUAAGCGGAGGA
rnacentral:misc_RNA from 1 species